rnacentral:rRNA from 1 species
CCUACGGGAGGCAGCAGUGGGGAAUAUUGCACAAUGGGGGAAACCCUGAUGCAGCGACGCCGCGUGAGUGAAGAAGUAUUUCGGUACGUAAAGCUCUAUCAGCAGGGAAGAAAAUGACGGUACCUGACUAAGAAGCCCCGGCUAACUACGUGUCAGCAGCCGCGGUAAUACGUAGGGGGCAAGCGUUAUCCGGAUUUACUGGGGGGAAAGGGAGCGUAGACGGCAGAGCAAGUCUGGGGUGAAAUCCCAUGGAUUAACCAGGGAACUGCUUUGGAAACUGUGCGGCUAGAGUGCAGGAGAGGUAAGCGGAAGUCCUAGUGUAGCGGUGAAAUGCGUAGAUAUUAGGAGGAACACCAGUGGCGAAGGCGGCUUACUGGACUGUAACUGACGUUGAGGUUCGAAAGCGUGGGGAGCAAACAGGAUUAGAUACCCCAGUAGUC